UACGUAGGGGGCGAGCGUUGUCCGGACGUUGACUGGGCGUAAAGGGCAUGCAGGCGGUCGGACGCGUUUCGGGUGACAGCGGGUGGCUUAACUACCCGAGUGGUCGAAAGACGGUUUGACUUGAGGACGCGAGAGGGACACGGAAUUCCGGGUGGAGUGGUGAAAUGCGUAGAGAUCCGGAGGAACACCGAAGGCGAAGGCAGUGUCCUGGCGCGUAACUGACGCUGAGGUGCGAAAGCCAGGGGAGCGAACGGG
rnacentral:rRNA from 1 species